rnacentral:rRNA from 1 species
AUUGAACGCUGGCGGCAUGCCUUACACAUGCAAGUCGAACGGCAGCACGGACUUCGGUCUGGUGGCGAGUGGCGAACGGGUGAGUAAUGUAUCGGAACGUACCUUUCAGUGGGGGAUAACGUAGCGAAAGUUACGCUAAUACCGCAUAUUCUGUGAGCAGGAAAGCAGGGGAUCGCAAGACCUUGCGCUGAUUGAGCGGCCGAUAUCAGAUUAGCUAGUUGGUGGGGUAAAGGCCUACCAAGGCUACGAUCUGAAGCGGGUCUGAGAGGAUGAUCCGCCACACUGGAACUGAGACACGGUCCAGACUCCUACGGGAGGCAGCAGUGGGGAAUUUUGGACAAUGGGGGCAACCCUGAUCCAGCCAUGCCGCGUGAGUGAAGAAGGCCUUCGGGUUGUAAAGCUCUUUCGGCCGGGAAGAAAUCGCAUAGGCUAAUACCCUGUGUGGAUGACGGUACCGGAAUAAGAAGCACCGGCUAACUACGUGCCAGCCGCCGCAGUAACAC